GACAGAGGGGGCAAGCGUCGCUCGGAAUUACUGGGCGUAAAGGGCGCGUAGGCGGGAUGGCAAGUCGGUCGUGAAAUCCCUCGGCUCAACCGAGGAACGUCGAUCGAUACUGCUGUUCUUGAGGAUUGCAGAGGAGACUGGAAUUCCCGGUGUAGCGGUGAAAUGUGUAGAGAUCGGGAGGAACACCGGUGGCGAAGGCGGGUCUCUGGGCAAUUCCUGACGCUGAGGCGCGAAAGCGUGGGGAGCAAACGGG
rnacentral:rRNA from 1 species